AAUGUUGUGAAUUUAGUUUACGUAAUUGCGUAUUAAAUUAGGAAAAAAACAAAAAAAAAGUAAUUGUUGUAAAUUUAGUUUAGGAAAUUUAGUUUAGGAAAUUGUGUAUUAAAUUAGGAAAAGACAAGAAAUGUUUAAAGUAAAUGUAUUAUUAAUUACUGCAAUGGUUGUUCAAGUCUAAGGGUUACUCUAAUUUAUUUAUAUAUAUAUAUGUCUGCACUAGUUGUGGUAAUCAUAUGAACAUUGCGUUGGGUCAUUCCACGUCUUAGGCUUAAUGUUGUCGGGAUAUGAUGACGUCACCGCAAUUUUCAUUGAUUAUGAAUAAUGACUGCAUCUAUUUCUUCCUUUUUAUGUUAUUUGGUUGUCUUCUGUAGCAGUUGAUUUAUUAGUCGUGAUGGCUUCGUUAUCGUUCUUCGUAAACAAUUCCUCGAUUAAUUGAGAGUAGUCAUUUACAAAAUCUCGCCUGAAAAAAAAAUGAAAGAGAACAUUGU
rnacentral:lncRNA from 1 species